rnacentral:rRNA from 1 species
GUAUGGUUCUUCGGAACCAGAGACCGGCGCACGGGUGCGUAACGCGUAUGCAAUCUACCUUUCACAGAGGGAUAGCCCAGAGAAAUUUGGAUUAAUACCUCAUAGUAUAUAGACUUGGCAUCAAAAUUAUAUUAAAGAUUUAUCGGUGAAAGAUGAGCAUGCGUCCCAUUAGCUAGUUGGUAUGGUAACGGCAUACCAAGGCUACGAUGGGUAGGGGUCCUGAGAGGGAGAUCCCCCAACUGGUACUGAGACACGGACCANACUCCUACGGGAGGCAGCAGUGAGGAAUAUUGGACAAUGGGCGCAAGCCUGAUCCAGCCAUGCCGCGUGCAGGAUGACGGUCCUAUGGAUUGUANACUGCUUUUAUACAGGAAGAAACACUGGUUCGUGAACCAGCUUGACGGUACUGUAAGAAUAAGGAUCGGCUAACUCCGUGCCAGCAGCCGCGGUAAUACGGAGGAUCCAAGCGUUAUCCGGAAUCAUUGGGUUUAAAGGUCCGUAGGCGGUUCAGAUAAGUCAGGUGGUGAAAGCCCA